AUAACCCAAUCACGUUAGUUUUCUCAUUUUAUUUGCUAAAUUACUAGGAGUAGUACAUCGGCAUUGCCCGUAGUAAUUAGGCAUCAGCUAUGAUACAAAUUUUGCUUUUAUAAUAUAGAAAAUAACUCACCGAGAAAUCCUCCGUAUCUCUGUAGUUGUCCUUGGUUUUUACCUUAUAUUCCAUAAGGUAAGGCUAUGUCUGAUUCCUUCAAACUAUACAAUAAAUAAUUUAUAAUAAUUCUACUUUAUCGGCUAUACAUCUAUACAUGUACUUGUAUCAGUAUUAUGAUUAGCACUAAAGGAAUAGAGGACCAAAUUAAACAAUUUCAAUAUACAAUUAGUGAGACAAAACCAUCUAAUACAAUUAGCACUAAAGAUACAUUUAAAUUGAAUACUAAAAUAACAAGAAACAGACAAACUUUUUGAGAUACUAAAUUAGGAGUGCAAAAGAAAGAAACUUUCGGGAGUUGAAUCAAUUGAGUUUAUUAUUUUAGAACGAAAGAAAUCGAGAAGCAAGAUUAGAAAAAGAAUUGGACGAGUUCAUUCAUGGGGAAGGAGGUUUGGAGUUUGUAUUAAAGAGUAAUGUUGAUGCCACCCAAGAAGAGACCUCCCAGGUGUCCAAAGAUCUACAACAAAGAAGAGCAAGCCCACCCAAUACACUCCAGGGGUGGUCUUAUGAUGAUUAUAAAAGGGGGUCAAAGACUAAGGUGGUCGUCGAUAGGACAGGGAAGAUAAUGAAUUGAAAGUUAAGCUACUAGAAUGGUAAGAGCUUAAAAAAAAUGAAAAAUGAGCUUCAAAAAAUGUACAACCUUCAAGAAAAUGGCUCAAUCUUACUAAUAAUUAUAGCAUUGAAAUUUAAGAAAAUGGACAAACGGAAGGCAAAUUUUAUUUUCAUAAAUGCAAUCACUACUUCUUAUCUUCAAAAGAUAUCUUUCUUAAAUAGGAAUGAGAAAAAUAGGGACACAUUUAUGCAAUUAGAGGAACUCCCAAAAUUAUAAAUCCCUAAUUGGCGUAAGGAUCUUUAAUGCUACUCUAUUCAA
rnacentral:lncRNA from 1 species